ensembl:lncRNA
CCGACACCAGCCCCGCCAGCAGAGGGUCCAGGAGGGAGCUGGGUCCCGGACCCUGGAAGGCUGCGAGGGGAGGGAGACGGGGAGAACACAUGAACUGGGGUUUUCAAACGGCUCACAUCUCGGUCAUAGAAGGGGACCACAUCGGUGGCAAGGUGAGAUUUGUAUGAGGAAUUUAUUGAAUUGUUGAACAUUUGAAUGAUCUAGAUCAGCAGUCCUCAAACUGUGAGUUGCGUGCGACACAAAAGGUAGUGCAGGUAGUUAGGAUCCAGAUACAGGUAGUGGAUGAUCCAGAUCCAUAGGAUCCAGAUACAGGUAGUGGAUGAUCCAGAUCCAUAGGAUCCAGAUACAGGUAGCGCGUUACAGGUAGUGCAUAGUCCAGAUCAGAUACAGGGAGUGCAUUAGUCCAGAUCCAUCGGAUUCAGAAUGAGUUAGUGCUGAGCCCCAA